AGUGAACGCUGGCGGUAGGCCUAACACAUGCAAGUCGAGCGACAGCACAGUAAGAGCUUGCUCUUACGGUUGGCGACUGGCGGACGGGUGAGACAUACAUCGCCAUCUACUUUGUCUGGGGUGAUAACGUAGGGACACUUACGCUAAUAGCGCAUACGACCUACGGGUGGGAUCAGGAGAUCUUCGGACCUUUGGCGACUCUAUGAGCCGAUGUCGGAUUAGCUAGUUGGCGGGGUAAAGGCCUACCAAGGCGACGAUCCGUAGCUGGUCUGAGAGGAUGAUCAGCCACACUGGAACUGAGACACGGUCCAGACUCCUACGGGAGGCAGCAGUGGGGAAUAUUGGACAAUGGGCGCAAGCCUGAUCCAGCCAUACCGCGUGGGUGAAGAAGGCCUUCGGGUUGUAAAGCCCUUUUGUUGGGAAAGAAAAGCAGCAGGUUAAUACCCCGCUGUUCUGACGGUACCCAAAGAAUAAGCACCGGCUAACUUCGUG
rnacentral:rRNA from 1 species